AUCGCUUCUUGGCCUUUUGGCUAAGAUCAAGUGUAGUGUCUGUUCUUAUCAGUUUAAUAAAUUAUGCAGCCUCAGGUAUUGCACUUUUUUUUUUGGUUGGGGGAGGGGACAGGGUCUUGCUCUGUUGCCCAGGCUGGAGGGCAAUAGCGCAAUCACAGCUCACUGAAGCCUAGAUCUC
ensembl:snRNA U2 U2 spliceosomal RNA